UACAGAGGUCCCGAGCGUUGUUCGGAUUCAUUGGGCGUAAAGGGUGCGCAGGUGGCCAAGUGUGUCAGGUGUGAAAUCCCGGGGCUUAACUCCGGAACUGCGCCUGAAACUGCUUGGCUAGAGCAUUGGAGAGGGAAGUGGAAUUCACGGUGUAGCAGUGAAAUGCGUAGAUAUCGUGAGGAACACCAGAGGCGAAGGCGACUUCCUGGACAAUUGCUGACACUCAGGCACGAAAGCGUGGGUAGCCAAAGGG
rnacentral:rRNA from 1 species